rnacentral:rRNA from 1 species
UUCCAGACUCCUACGGGAGGCAGCAGUGGGGGAUAUUGCACAAUGGGGGGAACCCUGAUGCAGCGACGCCGCGUGGGUGAAGGAGCGCUUCGGCAUGUAAAGCCCUCUCGGCAGGGAAGAAGCAAGACGGUACCUGACUAAGAAGCCCCGGCUAACUACGUGCCAGCAGCCGCGGUAAUACGUAGGGGGCGAGCGUUAUCCGGAUUCACUGGGUGUAAAGGGAGCGUAGACGGCCAUGCAAGCCAGGGGUGAAAGCCCGGGGCCCAACCCCGGGACUGCUCUUGGAACUGCGUGGCUGGAGUGCAGGAGGGGCAGGCGGAAUUCCUGGUGUAGCGGUGAAAUGCGUAGAUAUCAGGAGGAACACCGGUGGCGAAGGCGGCCUGCUGGACUGCAACUGACGUUGAGGCCCGAAAGCGUGGGGAGCAAACAGGAUUAGAUACCCGAGUAACC